rnacentral:lncRNA from 1 species
UGCCAAUACAGUGAAACUUCUCAAAACCGGCCGCCCGUCGGACCACGGGAUUCGGCCGGUUUUCAGGGGUGGCCGGUUUGUUGAAUUUGAAAUUAACAAGAGUUACUUCCCUUCAAUAUACGUGCAUUUGUUUUUUUUACCAUGUAUUGUACCUCAAUCAUAAAGUUGUUUUUUUGUGUAAAUUUAGCUUUGUAUUCUAAAUUGAUUAUGAAAUAAAUAUUAAAACAUCAUUUGUAUCUUUAUUAUUUUUUAUUUUGCAGUAAUAACAAAUAAAAUGCAACUGUAUAACAAAACAGUUUUAAUAUCAAUAUCUUCUGUUAUUGAACACAGUUGACAUAUAC